CGGGAAUCUUCCACAAUGGACGGAAGUCUGAUGGAGCAACGCCGCGUGAGCGAAGAAGGUCUUCGGAUCGUAAAGCUCUGUUGUAAGGGAAGAAUAAGUACAGUAGUAACUGGCUGUACCUUGACGGUACCUUACGAGAAAGCCACGGCUAACUACGUGCCAGCAGCCGCGGUAAUACGUAGGUGGCAAGCGUUGUCCGGAAUUAUUGGGCGUAAAGCGCGCGCAGGCGGCCUUUUAAGUCUGAUGUGAAAGCCCCCGGCUUAACCGGGGAGGGUCAUUGGAAACUGGGAGGCUUGAGUGCAGAAGAGGAAAGUGGAAUUCCAAGUGUAGCGGUGAAAUGCGUAGAGAUUUGGAGGAACACCAGUGGCGAAGGCGACUUUCUGGUCUGUUACUGACGCUGAGGCGCGAAAGCGUGGGGAGCAAAC
rnacentral:rRNA from 1 species